AUUGAACGCUGGCGGCAGGCCUAACACAUGCAAGUCGAGCGAGCGGCGGACGGGUGAGUAAUGUAUGGGGACUGCCCGAUAGAGGGGGGUAACUACUGGAAACGGUAGAUAAUAUCGCAUACUAUAUGAUAGCCCAGAUGGGAUUAGCUAGUGGGUGGGGUAAUGGCUCACCUAGGGGACGAUCCCUAGCUGGUCUGGGAGGAUGAUCAGCCACACUGGGACUGAGACACGGCCCAGACUCCUACGGAGGCAGCAGUGGGGAAUAUUGCACAAUGGGCGCAAGCCUGAUGCAGCCAUGCCGCGUGUAUGAAGAAGGCCGUAGGGUUGUAAAGUACUUUCAGUCGGGAGGCGUUACCGGCAGAAGAAGCACCGGCUAACUCCGUGCCAGCAGCCGCGGUAAUAC
rnacentral:rRNA from 1 species